rnacentral:rRNA from 1 species
AGUGAACGCUGGCGGUAGGCCUAACACAUGCAAGUCGAACGGCAGCACAGUAAGAGCUUGCUCUUACGGGUGGCGAGUGGCGGACGGGUGAGGAAUACAUCGGAAUCUACUUUUUCGUGGGGGAUAACGUAGGGAAACUUACGCUAAUACCGCAUACGACCUACGGGUGAAAGCAUGGGAUCUUCGGACCUUGCGCGAUUGAAUGAGCCGAUGUCGGAUUAGCUAGUUGGCGGGGUAAAGGCCCACCAAGGCGACGAUCCGUAGCUGGUCUGAGAGGAUGAUCAGCCACACUGGAACUGAGACACGGUCCAGACUCCUACGGGAGGCAGCAGUGGGGAAUAUUGGACAAUGGGCGCAAGCCUGAUCCAGCCAUACCGCGUGGGCGAAGAAGGCCUUCGGGUUGUAAAGCCCUUUUGUUGGGAAAGAAAAGCAGCAGGUUAAUACCCCGCUGUUCUGACGGUACCAAAAGAAUAAGCACCGGCUAACUUCGUG